rnacentral:rRNA from 1 species
UACGUAGGGUGCAAGCGUUGUCCGGAAUUAUUGGGCGUAAAGAGCUCGUAGGCGGUCUGUCGCGUCGGCUGUGAAAACCCGGAGCUCAACUCCGGGCCUGCAGUCGAUACGGGCAAACUGGAGUGUUGCAGGGGAGACUGGAAUUCCUGGUGUAGCGGUGAAAUGCGCAGAUAUCAGGAGGAACACCGGUGGCGAAGGCGGGUCUCUGGGCCGAUACUGACGCUGAGGAGCGAAAGCGUGGGGAGCGAACCGG